CGCGAAUAGCUCAUUACAACAGCCGAAGUUUAUUAGAAAGUGACUGAUGGAUAACUGUGGUAAUCCUAGAGCUAAUACAUGUUCUAAGCCCUGACUUAACGGAAGGGUGCAUUUAUUAGAACAAAGCCGAUCAGUCUUUGACUGUCUCAGGUUGACUCUGAAUAACUUUGCUAAUCGCACAGUCCUUGAACUGGCGAUGUAUCUUUCAAAUGUCUGCCCUAUCAACUGUUGAUGGUAGAUUAUGCGCCUACCAUGGUUGUAACGGGUAACGGAGAAUCAGGGUUUGAUUCCGGAGAGGGAGCCUGAGAAACAGCUACCACAUCCAAGGAAGGCAGCAGGCACGCAAAUUACCCACUCCCAGUUCGGGGAGGUAGUGACGAAAAAUAACGAGACGAUGCUCUAUGAGUAUCGUCAUCGGAAUGAGUACGAUAUAAAUACUCUAACGAGUAUCUAUUGGAGGGCAAGUCUGGUGCCAGCAGCCGCGGUAAUUCCAGUUCCAAUAGCGUAUACUAAAGUUGUUGCGGUUAAAAAGCUCGUAGUUGGAUCUGAGACUGUGGGCAGAGGUCCUCAAAUGAGUUGUACUUCUCGUCCCGGUCUAAUCUGUUGGUUGGUGUGCAGUGCUCUUUACUGAGUGUUGUAUGCUGCCAACAUCUUUACUUUGAAGAAAUUAGAGUGCUCAAAGCAGGCGACUGCUCGAAUAUUGGUGCAUGGAAUAAUGGAAUAGGGCCUUGGCUCUAUUUUGUUGGUUUUAAGAGCACGAGGCAAUGAUUAAGAGGAACAGACGGGGGCAUUCGUAUUGCGGGGUUAGAGGUGAAAUUCUUAGAUCCUCGCAAGACGAACAACUGCGAAAGCAUUUGCCAAGAAUGUUUUCAUUAAUCAAGAACGAAAGUUAGAGGUUCGAAGGCGAUCAGAUACCGCCC
rnacentral:rRNA from 1 species